CACACCUUCUUUUCUUCACUUUCUUCCUUGCUAUUGGAUUCUACAAGGCUUCAACAGCCUCAAGGAUAAUAACAGCUGAGGAGAAAACAACAGCAUCAAGGAUAACAACAGCUGAGGAGAAAACAACAGCCUCAACGACAAUAACAGCUGUGGAAACAAAAACAGCUGUGGAGACAACAACAGCUGUGGAAACAAAAACAGCUGUGGAGACAACAACGUCUGUGGAAACAACAUCUGAAACUCUUUGCUGUCCACAGAAGGAAUUUCAUACAGCAAUAAGCUUUCCAGGAACUCGUCAAUCAGAGGUUGUGAGUUAUCCUUGCCUCACUAAAGUAACAGCUGCUCCUUACAACAUUAACUCUGCUUUCACUGUAUUUGAUGGAGAAAUCAUAACAUGUGGAGGAGUGUACAAAAG